CCUACGGGAGGCAGCAGUGAGGAAUAUUGGUCAAUGGACGAGAGUCUGAACCAGCCAAGUAGCGUGAAGGAUGACUGCCCUAUGGGUUGUAAACUUCUUUUAUAUGGGAAUAAAAUGUUCCACGUGUGGGAUUUUGUAUGUACCAUAUGACUAAGGAUCGGCUAACUCCGUGCCAGCAGCCGCGGUAAUACGGAGGAUCCGAGCGUUAUCCGGAUUUAUUGGGUUUAAAGGGAGCGUAGGUGGAUUGUUAAGUCAGUUGUGAAAGUUUGCGGCUCAACCGUAAAAUUGCAGUUGAAACUGGCAGUCUUGAGUACAGUAGAGGUGGGCGGAAUUCGUGGUGUAGCGGUGAAAUGCUUAGAUAUCACGAAGAACUCCGAUUGCGAAGGCAGUUCACUGGACUGCAACUGACACUGAGGCUCGAAAGUGUGGGUAUCAAACAGGAUUAGAUACCCCAGUAGUC
rnacentral:rRNA from 1 species